UAUUUGUGCGUUUAGGGGCAUUUUGGUCAGUGCAAGUGGGUUAGCGCGUGGAGUGAGAUUUAAUCGCAGAUCUUUCGCUCUCUUUGUUUGGUUGGAGUUGCGCAGCGUAGAACGGUAGGUCUGUAGUCAGGACUCCUUAGCAGCUUCGUCCUCGUCGAUUGAGUUCCCGUUUGAGAUGGCCGGAAGCGUUGGUCGGAACUCUAAGCGCUCAUGGCCGGAGACAACGUCGGCUGCUGCACCAGGUUACUUGUGGGAAUCGAAGCAUAAAAUUUAAAACAACAAGUUCAUCUGAAGUAAAGAACUGGGUUUCCAUUAUUAAUGAAGCUGGUCUAAAGCCCAAAGAUGGUUGGUGUAGCCCUCAGCGAUUUGGUUCUUUUUCUCCACAACGUGGGUUGACUGAGGAUGGUAGUUGCAUCCAAUGGUUUAUAGAUGGAAAGGAAUCAUUUGAAGCAAUUGCUUUAUCAAUUGAGAGUGCAAAGUCUGAGAUAUAUAUUACUGGAUGGUGGCUUUGCCCAGAACUGUACGUCCAUUUCACAACCACAGUUCCUCCAGACUAAAUGCCUUACUUGAAGCUAAAGCUAACCAAGGGGUUCAAGUUCAAUUCAGAAUGCUUUCUUCAAGCUCUUUAUUUGUUCGUUUGUUUUUAUUAUUUUUUUAAACAAGUUUCUUGUCAUGUUUAUUUGAACUCACUACGUUAAACAUGCUAAGUUAAUAUGCUUUACUUUGUAGGUUUUUUUUCCUCACAAGUUUCUAUGCUACAUUACUGUGUAUGUCUGUAAAGUUUUGGGUUGUUUCUGGUUAUAGUGGACGUAAUUUAAUUACUUUUCUCUUGUGCAGUUUUUUUUUUCCCCAUUCUCCAGAGUGAACACUAUCAUGUUAUUAGUGUUGACAUUGUUCGUAAGCGGAUUGACAUAAUUGACAAUUCAUCUGUGCCUAUGACUAAUGGGGACAAGUAUGGUGCUACACCUGAGGUGCUGAAAGAUUUCUUGUCCGUGUUCCUUGAUGAUGUGGUUGAUAUACGGUAUGGGUUAGUUGUACAGAGGAUUACCCCUAGGAGAAUGCAGAUACGUUGGCGGGAUACGCUUAACAAAGUGGAUUGCGGGGUCUUUGCUAUGCGGCACAUGGAAUCCUUCUUGGGGCAAUCGGUACAUGUUUGGGAUUGUGGUCUGCGCAAGGGUGAUAGUAGGGGCCUCGAUUUGUUGAGGGCAAGUUUCAUGCGCCAAAUUUUGUCGGUUGAGUUAAAUAUACACCAUUCCGAAAACAUUCGAAAUGUAGUUGAAUACCGUGAUGCUUGGGGUCAAACAUAGAUACGAUUAUUCGGGUGGAGCUAGUUCAUUAGCUAUUAAGCUUUCUUUGUUUGGUUUUAGAUUUGUAUUUACUAUU